GUAGGUGAACCUGCGGAAGGAUCAUUAACACGUAUCCACGUAUCCACCAACGAGAUGUACGUUUUCAACGCUCUCCGCUGGACUAAUGAACUGAGCUUUCGUAUCGUCAUUGAGAGGGAUAGCUUCGGCGUCAGACUUUACUCGCGAACUUGCAUCGGCGCAGCUUUUUGGUAGCGUCGGUGCAGACAGUUGUAUUUUUCGGCGGAUUCACGCUCACUAUGUUCGGGUCUCCUUUCAUUGACUUUUUCUG
rnacentral:misc_RNA from 1 species